rnacentral:rRNA from 1 species
CGAACGCUGGCGGCGUGCCUAAUACAUGCAAGUCGAGCGCGGGAAGCGGACAAUCACCCGUUCGGGGUGUGCGUCCGUGGAACGAGCGGCGGAUGGGUGAGUAUCACGUGGGCAACCUGCCUGUAAGAUUGGGAUAACUCGCGGAAACGUGAGCUAAUACCGAAUGAAGUCUUUCACCGCCUGGUGAAAGGAUGAAAGAUGGCUCUUGAGCUAUCACUUACAGAUGGGCCCGCGGCGCAUUAGCUAGUUGGUGGGGUAAAGGCCUACCAAGGCGACGAUGCGUAGCCGACCUGAGAGGGUGAUCGGCCACACUGGGACUGAGACACGGCCCAGACUCCUACGGGAGGCAGCAGUAGGGAAUCUUCCGCAAUGGACGAAAGUCUGACGGAGCAACGCCGCGUGAGUGAUGAAGGUCUUCGGAUCGUAAAACUCUGUUGUCAGGGAAGAACAAGUUGUGUUCUAACAGGACAUGACCUUGACGGUACCUGACCAGAAAGCCCCGGCUAACUACGUGCCAGCCGCAGC